rnacentral:lncRNA from 1 species
CAUUAAAUCAAUAGAAGAGUGGUUGGCUAGUGUCAUAAAAGAACUUGCAGUAGAAUUUAAGAUAUGUCGUAAAUUAGGACAUGGUUUUUUCAGGUGAUCAGAAAGAACGAGGUGGCCAUACAAAAACUUUUGAUGCAUAUGAGUCAUUAAAUCAACUCAUUGGUUGUUUUGGAACAAAAAGAUGUAUUUUGAGUGCCAAAUUGCAAUUAUUAGGUGAAGGUUAGUGUAGAGGUUUCUAGAUGAAGAAAAAUCAGUGUUAAUGCAAGAAAUUGGCAAUUAUAAUAACCUAGACAACAUAUAAGCCCUAAGGCUUAAAGUUAAAUUCCUUCUCAUGGAAGAAGAAUUACAUUGGUAUUAAUUUUUAGUUCUUA